rnacentral:rRNA from 1 species
GCUUAUCACCAUUUCAAAUUGAAUAUACCCGAUCUCCCCUGAUCUCGGAAGUCAAACAAUCUCGGGCUUGGUUAGUACU